ACAAAAACCCUCGGACGGUCUCUCUCUCUGUUUCUCUCACUCCCGAACCCUCUCCUCUCCCAAACCCUCCCCUCACGAACCCGCGCCUCCUCUCUGCAUCCCGCUUGCAAAAAAAACCCUAGAAAUCUAGGUUUUACCACUAUUACCUUCUAUAUGCACUGGAUUCAGGGCACUUUUUUUCCUCCAAUCAAACAGACCAAACCCCUAGAAUCAAUCCUUCUAGAAAUCAGCAAUGUGAACAGGAUGAUGCGGAGGUCACGGCGAGGAUCAAUGGUGGAGGUGGUGUUGAGAGCCUAGACUACGAGAUCAUUGAGAAUUACGCCUACAGGGAAGAACGGGUCGAGUAUCAGGGUUUUAAUCCGGUUUUGGAGGAGAACUAAAUACAAUUUUGCAAUUUUUUCCUGAUUUCUCCAUUUUAUUUUGAGAUCCGAUGAUAGGCACAGAGAGGAAACCUGUACACCGGAUAUUAUGUGAUGGUGAAAUGGUUCUUUUCAUUGUUCACUGGCAUCGGUACUGGAUUAGCUGCCAUUUUUAUCAAUCUAGCUGUUGAGAACUUCGCUGGCUGGAAGUUUGCUGCAACCUUCAAAAUAAUACAGAGCUCGUACAUUGCGGGUUUCAUUGUGUACAUAUUGAUCAACCUGGCUUUGGUUUUAUCUUAUGUGUUUAUUGUCACACAAUUUGCACUGGCAGCGGCAAGAUCUGGCAUUCCCGAAAUUAAGGGGUACUUGAGCGGCAUUAAUACACCUGGACUCCUUUUUAGAACUUUGAUUGGAAAGUUAUUUGGAAGCAUUAGUUCAGUGGGAGGCGGGCUUGCUUUGGGUGUAAUUCUCAAUGAUCUCUUUCCCCACAAUUUCAUGAGUAUAGUGCUCAAAGCCGGUAACAGAGUGACCGAGGCAUUUCUACAGAUGAAUCUGGACAAGUUGGUCCUUGCAUCCCAUGUCGCUGCCAGGUUAUGUGAUGGUGGGGAGCUCUUAGAUAGAAUACUUUCUAGGUUUGCAAAGUGGAAACUAGAUGAGCUUGUUUAUCUCAGGAAUCAACUACAGGUUUCGUAUGCUCCUCAGUUCGAGUCUCUUUUUGAUACGAAGGAGAAACAGGAAGGCAGGAGAAAAGAAGUUCUAAGCCGACUAAACUGAGUUUCUUCUAAGAUUGAUAUGUGCAGUCACUUGCAAAAAUUACCUCAUUGUACCUUGAAACAAGCUUGCUCUUCUUUUUUCCUCUUCUUCUAUAUCUACAAAUUGCAGCUAGAAGAUCCAAAGGAUCAGAGCCUUCCAAGCAAAUGACCAUUAGAAAGUGAAGAAUUAGAGAAAGGCCUUGCACAACCCUUGCUCAUAAACUCAGAAGAGAAACAAAACGAUAAAGAUGGAGACCAAGAUUGUGAUGGUAGUGAAGCAUCAGCAGAAGUGUCCAACAAACCUGCUACUUCCAUUGCAGCAGCAUAUAGAUUGCUGAAGCCAACAGUGAAGGUCCAGUUAUUGAUCUAUUUCAUGCUCAAAUAUGCUAUGGAGAUUUUACUUUCUGAAUCAAGCACCAUUACCACAUUUUACUUCCGUUGGUCAACUAGUUCUGUGGCAAUUUUCCUUUUUUUUGCUUGGGGCUUACAGUUCUUCCAGUUAACAUCGUUAUCGGAAGCUACAUCAGCAACAUGUUUGAAGACAGAGAAGAAAGAAUUUCUGGAGACGCUCUACUAUAAAGAAUGAUGUCGAAGAACCAAAAGAUCUUUCAGUUGCGAAUGUGCAUAGAGAUGGAGGGAAUCAUGGAAAAGGUUUUGAAUUACCAUUAUUCCACUUUGCUGGAAUUAGAAUUGCUACAGAUAACUUCAGUGAUGCAAAUAAGAUUGGGAAGGAUAACUUCAGUGGAAUCUCCACUGGAACAAGUAGUAGCUGUUAAAAGACUUUCCGAAAGGUCUAAUCAAGGCGUAGAAGAGUUCAAGAAUGAGAGUUUAUUGAUAUCUAAACUUCAGCACAGGAAUCUUAUUAGGCUGUUGGGGUGUUGUGUUGAAGGAGAUGAAAAAAUACUCAUGAGUACAUGCCAAAACAAAAGCUUGGAUGCCUUUCUCUUCGGUUUGUCUGUGCUAUAACUCAAUUAUCUUUGCUACACUACUGCGAAUUUAUUUAGGGAGGGGGGAAUGCAUUUGAAGACUGUAUUACACUGCAAUAUUUACUUAUCUGACACAACAGUGGCAUACCUCUAAAUAAUGAGCAUGCCAUAAUCUCUCUCCUGUCUGAUGAUCCCAGCCAUCUGAUUAAAAUUGCUAAUUAGGUAAGGUCCUGCAUAUAACAAGGUCAAACCUAGCCUCUCUGUUUUUGUUGAGGGCCUGCUUGAAUUGUAAUUCUUGUGAAAUCCUUUUGCCAUGGAAUAGAAUUGAUUUGUUCUUUUGAAAAAAAUGACAAGAAGCUUGCAUGAAUCUCCUGUCUAUUUGGCUACUGUUCUUGAGUACC